UACGGGGGGGGCAAGCGUUGUUCGGAAUUCCUGGGCGUAAAGGGCGCGUAGGCGGUUGGAUAAGUCAGCUGUGAAAACCACGAGCUUAACUCGUGGCCUGCAGUUGAGACUGUCUGGCUUGAGUGUGGGAGAGGAGAGUGGAAUUCCUGGUGUAGCGGUGAAAUGCGUAGAUAUCAGGAGGAACACCGGUGGCGAAGGCGGCUCUCUGGACCACAACUGACGCUGAGGCGCGAAAGCUAGGGGAGCAAACAGG
rnacentral:rRNA from 1 species